UACGGGGGGAGCAAGCGUUGUUCGGAUUUACUGGGCGUAAAGGGCGCGUAGGCGGUCAGCACAAGUCAGUUGUGAAAUCUCCGGGCUUAACUCGGAAAGGUCAACUGAUACUGUGCGACUAGAGUGCGGAAGGGGCAACUGGAAUUCUCGGUGUAGCGGUGAAAUGCGCAGAUAUCAGGAAGAACACCCGUGGCGAAAGCGGCUCUCUGGAACGGUACUGACGCUGAGACGCGAAAGCGUGGGGAGCGAACAGG
rnacentral:rRNA from 1 species